rnacentral:rRNA from 1 species
UACGUAGGGUGCAAGCGUUGUCCGGAAUUAUUGGGCGUAAAGAGCUCGUAGGCGGUUUGUCGCGUCUGCUGUGAAAACCCGAGGCUCAACCUCGGGCCUGCAGUGGGUACGGGCAGACUAGAGUGCGGUAGGGGAGACUGGAAUUCCUGGUGUAGCGGUGAAAUGCGCAGAUAUCAGGAGGGAACACCGGUGGGCGAAGGCGGGUCUCUUGGGCCGGAUAUUGACGC